ACUUUGGUGUUGCAAUGCCGGGACGAGAGCAGUCUGCGAGCGCCUGUGCGUUGGUUCAGGGAGGGCAACAGACCAUUCACAGUCGGAACAAAUGAACACAGGGGACGUUUGGAAAUAAAUAUAGUUGUUGGAGCGGAUGGUGGAGGUUACAUUUGUCAAGCGCCAUCUUAUUUGAGCCUUCCUGGCUCCGAAGCAAGAGUCGACAUUAUAGUCAGAAACAAUGAUGCAGAAAUAGAUGUGCAGAGUCAAUGUUACGAGGAACAGUUGCAAUGCGUUUCGGAUAAAUUGUGUUUGCCGUUGGAGUGGCGCUGCGACGGCGACAUAGACUGUGCCGAUGGCUCUGACGAACGCUUUUGCGUCGUUCCCAGUUCAGAAAACUAUCAUUAUUCCUCUGUUAUUUCACGCGAAAAUCAAUUCUAAUUAAUGC